ACCCUGGAGAAAGAAUCUUACAAAGAAUACUAAAGAGCAUCCAAGUGUGAAGAAUGAAACACACAAUGCACAUGAAGUCCAGCCAUGGUGUAGCCAAGGAGACCCACUAAGACCACCAAAAGCUUGGAAAUGAGGAUGCAGGGGCAAAGGACGGCAUUAUAGGCGGUAUUACAGCAUGUUUUUAUGCUGAUGGAAAUGAUCCAGUGAAGAGAGAAAAACGGAAGAAGCAGGAGAGAGAAGAGAUAACUGCAAGACCCAGGCCUUGAAUAAGCAAUAGAGGAUGGGAUCCAGUUCACACCUAGUGGGGCUAACCUGGCAUAUAAUAACACAAAGUUCAUCCAUUUUAUUAGGAGGAAAAGCAGAGUUUGUGAGUAUAGAUUUGGGUAGGUAGGCAGAUGGUGUGGUGGAAAGGAAGCAAGUUCUCUGCUUCCAUCUUAGGGAAGUAAGGAAGAAGGUCAUCAGCUGAGAAGAAGGAAGGGGGAGGAAUUGUUGGAGGUUAGAGUAAAGGUGAAAAAGUAUGAAAUAGUCAUCUCAGAGAAUGAGGAGAGAGAAUUGACUGGGGAAAUGCGAUAAGAUUGCUUGGCUGCACUGAGGUCCCACUAGAGGUCUGCCAUCAUAAAUUUCAAGUGAGACCGGUCAGAAAUGGUUGAGUGUUUUUCACCAGCUUGCUUAACAAGGGCAAGCAAAAUAAUGGAGUUGAGAGAAUGUACAAGGAAUUGACAAUAUGUGCAAGAAGUGGUUAUGGGAAUGGGCUGUGGACUCUAAGGUGAAAUAGGAGAAUAAGGAGAGAGUAAAGGAGGUAAGAUGCAGUGAAAAGUUGGUGCAAUGGCGGGACUGGGGACCUAAAGGGGCCCAAGAUUGAUUGGCUUCAGAACACUAGAGAAAGAGAGCUGGGAUGAUAUGAGGUGGGAAUAUGGGAAGCUGGAAACUAAGGCUUGGGAAUGGAGCAGUUUUGUUAAUGCCACCUUGGCAAUAGGUAGCUGAGAUGGAGAUGAUAAAGACCACAGAAAGUGAGGAUGUCAAGGCAAUGAGAGGUCACAAUGUUGGAAGGUCUCUCUAGGUGUUUGUUGAAAUGACAAAGAGUUAAGAAAUUUGUAGUGGUGGAGAGAAAGAUAGUGUUCCUGGUGAUAAAAUCUUCAGUGAAAAGCAGUGAUGGUGUGUGUCUGAUAGAAGAUGAUUGCAAUAGGGAGAUUGUGGCAGCCACAAGAAUGCCCUUCUCAGACCUCUUACUGGCAGGAGUGUAACUGACCUGUGGCUGCACUCUGAAAUCCAUUAUCACAUUGAAGCCACACCCUCCACCAGCUGCUCUCAGCCAUGAGUGAGCACAGCAGGGACACUAGGGCAGGCGCCUCAAUGGGAGAUGCAGGAUUCCUCUGAUCUGCCCCUUUGGCCCAAGGACUCCUCAUUAGUUUUGCCAAAACUUUCUUAGACAUGCACUGAAGUCAGACUUUCCCAGUUACCCUUCCUUCUACAGAAUUAGACCUGCAUCAUGUGUGAAGGCUCUCUCUGCUUCCUCCAGCUCCCUCUCCAUUUUUCCCCCCAACAGGUAGUUUCUCUAGUAAAUCUCUUGCAUGUCUAAUCUUGUCUUAGUGUCAACUUUUCAGAUGACCUGAGCUAGCAGAGAGAGGAUAUGGGGAGUGUAUUGGUCCAUUUUGUGUUGCCAUAAAGGAAUACCUGAUACUGGAUAAUUUAUAGAGAAAAGAGAUGUAUUUGGCUCAUGGUUCUGCAGGCUGUAUAAGCAUGGUGCCAGCAUCUUGGCUUCUGGUGAGGCUUCAGGGAGAUUACAAUCAUGUCAGAAGGUGAUGGAGAGCCAGCAUAUCACAUGGUGAGGGGAAGCUAGACAGAGAGAGAAAAGGUGAGGUGCCAGGCUCUUUUAAACAAUCAGAUCUCACAUGAACUCACACAGAGAAAACUCACUCAUUAUCGUGAUGACAGCACCAAAUCAUUCAUGAAAGAUCCACCCUCAUGACUCAAACAACUCCCACUAGGUCCACCUCCAAUGUGACAUUGGAGGUCACAUUUCAGCCUCCAAACCAUAUAACAGAAUGUGGUCUGUAAGAAUUGCUUCCAGGGAUCUGGGUGCUUUAGGGAUAAAGGAGGGACAAAAUAAUCUGCAAGGAAAAUCUUCAUCCCUUCUCCAAGCCCAGGAUUCAUGGGGUUUGGGUGUGACAGGGUGGUAAGAAAAUACCACUUCUUCUAAGGGCUGAAUGGGAGGUAAUGUCUCCAGGAUUCAGACAGAAUUCAGGUAGGCAAAAAGUGAAAGGAACAGUCUGCCAAUCCCUGACCCGACCACCUAGCCUGAUGAUACCAAUGGUGCCCUGAUAAGAUUCUGUAACCCUAGCCCAGACUUAUGGCAUAUGCUACAGAAGCAGUCAGACAGCAUGAUUCCCAGACGGUCACC
rnacentral:lncRNA from 1 species